GUCAACAAGUCAACUGAUAAUUCAAAAAAAAAAAUUAGUAAAUAACUCAUCAUCUCUUUGCUUAUCCACUUCUCCAACUCAAAGUUCCCAAAUUUCCUCUCUCUCCUUUCUCACCAAAACAAAACAAACAAAUAAAAAUAAUAAAAAUCGCCGAAAAACCCAACCUCAAACACUCUUUUCUCUUUCUCUUUCUCUCUCCUCGCUCAACAAUGCCCGCUUACCCGCGUAUGGUUUGAGUUUUCUCUCUCCUCACCUUUCUCGGUAUCUACCUCUCCCUCCUUUUUCUCUCUCCUCCAAAUUCCUUUGAUCAUCGUCGAAAACCUCUAGCUCAGUUCUUCAAGUUCAUGCUGUUGAAAAACUCGGAAAAAUUCAAUCAUUUUUCAGCAGUAGUAAAUUUGUGUUGAUUUUUGAUUUAAUCGAUUGUUUUUUCUAUGGAUCGGAUCGUUGGAGGCAAGUAUAAGCUCGGUCGUAAGAUCGGUAGUGGUUCUUUUGGUGAAAUUUUCUUAGCUACUCAUAUUGAUACUUUCGAGAUUGUCGCUGUAAAGCUUGAAAAUACCAAGACAAAGCAUCCGCAAUUACUGUAUGAGGCGAAGGUAUACAACAUUCUUCAAGGAGGAAGUGGACUUCCAAGCGUGAAAUGGUCCGGAGUGGACGGGGACGUUAAUAUCCUCGUGAUUGAUUUAUUGGGGCCUAGUCUAGAGGAUCUCUUUGUGUAUUGUGGGAGAAAGUUUACAUUGAAGACAGUCCUAAUGUUGGCUGAUCAAAUGAUUACGAGAAUAGAGUAUGUUCAUUCAAAGGGCUUUUUGCAUCGAGAUAUCAAACCUGAUAACUUUCUCAUGGGCCUAGGUCGGAAAGCUAAUCAGGUUUACAUUAUUGAUUUUGGACUUGCGAAAAGAUAUCGUGACUCAACCACAAAUCGCCAUAUUCCAUACAGGGAGAACAAGAAUUUGACAGGGACUGCACGUUAUGCUAGUUGCAACACUCACCUUGGCAUUGAGCAAAGUCGGCGUGAUGAUUUAGAGUCGCUUGGAUAUGUUCUCCUCUAUUUUUUGAGAGGAAGCCUACCAUGGCAAGGUCUUAAAGCUGCAACAAAGAAGCAGAAAUAUGACAAAAUAUGUGAGAAGAAAUUGGCUACUCCAAUUGAGGUUCUAUGCAAAUCGCAUCCUGUUGAGUUCGCCUCAUACUUGCAUUAUUGCCACUCAUUGACAUUUGAUCAGCGACCGGAUUAUGGAUUCUUGAAGCGCUUGUUUCGUGAACUAUUUACUCGUGAAGGAUAUUCUUUUGAUUACAUCUUUGAUUGGACUAUUAUGAAGUACCAGCAAUCACAGAAGAGUAGGAUCCAGUCUGAAUUAUCGCCAGCUGCAGGAGGGAGCAGCAGUCGAGCAUUGCCAAUGGAAGUGGACAAGAAUCAAGGGGGGCAAAAUGCUCUGCAUCCUGUUGGUGUCAGACACCGAGUCAGAGUGGGUAAUGGUGCAGGUUCUGAUGCUCGCAUGCAUUCUAGUUUAGCUGUUGAGAAAAAUUGGAAUUCUGAAAGCAUGGCGUACAAAGAUUUGCCAUCAACAUCAUUUUCUUCCCAUGGGGUCUUGCAAAAAGAAGUCACUGAGCCUGUUAGGCCCACCGAAGCUACGAACACGAAUCAAGGACAUGGUAGUAAAACUGGUCCUUCCAGCAGAUGGAUUUCUCCCCUGAUGCGAAUUUCAUCUGCAAAGUGAUUGAACGUGAAGAUUAUGUUGGACAAUCUCUUGAUACACAUCUACGGACACUCAUUGCACGUCAAAUUUGAGCUUGUGCCAUGCAGAUAUGCUUAAAGGGCGACUGCAAUUUUAUAUGGAGUUACAGCGUAUAUUCUAAUAGCUUGGUGCAACUGGUGUGCUGAUGUCAUGAAUUACACACAUCACUCCUGUAUUUACAAUCCUGUGUAAUAUGACAAUAUCUGGCAUAUUCGUCCGUGUGCGUUCCAUAGAUGUUGCAGAAUCCUCUCUGCUGCGACGUGGUUGUCAUCAACGGCGUUCAUCUAUUUGGUUCAUGGUUUUUGGAUUCCCAGAAGAAAGUAAUGGGAGGUCCUUGUUUUUCCAAGGACAUUGAAGCACCUCUGCUUGUGAUUGCACUUGUCUUGCAUGCGGUAUCCUGAUCUCUUUUCUGACUUCGGAGGACAUUGAAGCACCUCUGCUUGUGAUUGCACUUGUGUAGCAUGCCGUAUCCUGAUCUCUUAUCUCUGGAAGUCCCUGUUCUGGAUUAUUUGCCUGCAGAUCAGGGGCUGGUUGUGGACUCUCCAAACUCUAGUAUUAGUCCAUCUUCACUGCACUGGAAGUAUGUGCAAUUGUAGUUUAUAGGUGAUAAUUUCUUAUAAACUGCUACAUCAGGUAAAGGUAAAAACCAGGUGGGCAAGUUCAUUUGCCAAUUGCUAAGGCUGUCUGACCAGCUUUAGCUGGCUGUGUCUUCGGAGUAUUGCUCACAAAAUUGUGAACGUAUCAAAAGAGGUUACUUAUAUAUCUAGUUGAAAUUACAGUUAGAUGUUGCUUUGCUGUUGAAUUUUGGGUUUUGGAGUGUGUUCGCUUUGUAUGCCUUUUGCCAACAUGCUGGGAUACUUUUACUUUUCAGACAUUUGAGUUUUUUUGGUUAGCUGCAUUCUUUCUAUUUCUUGUUCUGCUUUUCUUGGGGUACAGCUUUUGCACGAAUGCUUCUGAUGUCCCUCAUCUGGUUCCAGAGGCAAAUGCUGUAAUUGGAAUUGAUAUAUGUACAUAUAUGCAGCCAGGUAUGUUUCAUUCUUA